UACGAAGGGGGCUAGCGUUGCUCGGAAUCACUGGGCGUAAAGCGCACGUAGGCGGAUCUUUAAGUCAGGGGUGAAAUCCUGGAGCUCAACUCCAGAACUGCCUUUGAUACUGGGGAUCUCGAGUCCGGGAGAGGUGAGUGGAACUCCGAGUGUAGAGGUGAAAUUCGUAGAUAUUCGCAAGAACACCAGUGGCGAAGGCGGCUCACUGGCCCGGUACUGACGCUGAGGCACGAAAGCGUGGGGAGCAAACAGG
rnacentral:rRNA from 1 species